rnacentral:rRNA from 1 species
CCUGACGCAGCGACGCCGCGUGGGUGACGAAGGCCUUCGGGUUGUAAAGCCCUGUGGGGAGGAACGAACCGUCCGGGGGCUAAUACCCUCCGGGCCUGACGGUACCUCUUUAGCAAGCAUCGGCUAACUCUGUGCCAGCAGCCGCGGUAAGACAGAGGAUGCGAACGUUGCUCGGAAUUACUGGGCGUAAAGCGCGCGUAGGUGGCCUUGUAAGUCUCGUGUGAAAGCCCUCUGCUCAACGGAGGAAGUGCACGGGAUACUGCGAGGCUGGAGUACAGAAGAGGACAGCGGAAUUCCCGGUGUAGAGGUGAAAUUCGUAGAUAUCGGGAGGAACACCAGUGGCGAAGGCGGCUGUCUGGGCUGAUACUGACACUGAGGCGCGAAAGCGUGGGAAGCAAACAGGAUUAGAUACCCUGGUAGUCCACGCUGUAAACGAUGACGACUGGGUGUUGCGGGUAUUGACCCCCGCGGUGCCGAAGCCAACGCGUUAAGUCGUCCGCCUGGGAAGUACGGCCGCAAGGCUAAAACUCAAAGGAAUUGACGGGG